rnacentral:rRNA from 1 species
AACGAACGCUGGCGGCAUGCCUAACACAUGCAAGUCGAACGAAACCUUCGGGUCCUUUCGCGCCCGGCUUCGUCACCCGUGGGAUCCUGCCCUCAUGUUCGGCAUAACUCCCCGACAGGGGUGCUAAUACCGGAUCAUGUCUUCUAACCAAAGAUUUAUCGCCUUUGGUUGUGCGCUCGUUGGAUUCGCUUGUUGUUAGGGUAAAAGCAUACUACGGCGCCCAUCAAUAGCUGGUUUGAGAGGAAGGUCAGCCACACUGAGACUCAGACGCGGCCUAGACUCCUACGGGAGGGAGGAAUGGGGGAUAGAGGAAAAUGGGGGGAAGGCUGAACCAGCAAGGACGGGUGAGUGAUGAAGGCCGUAGGGUAGAAAAGCGCUUUUAACCGGGAAGAUAAUGACGGUACCGGGAGAAUAAGCCCCGGCUAACUCCGUG